UACGGAGGAUGCGAGCGUUAUCCGGAUUUAUUGGGUUUAAAGGGUGCGUAGGCGGAUUUUUAAGUCAGCGGUAAAAUUGAGAGGCUCAACCUCUUCCCGCCGUUGAAACUGGUGGUCUUGAGUGGAUGAGAAGUACGCGGAAUGCGUGGUGUAGCGGUGAAAUGCAUAGAUAUCACGCAGAACUCCGAUUGCGAAGGCAGCGUACCGGCAUCCAACUGACGCUGAGGCACGAAAGCGUGGGGAUCAAACAGG
rnacentral:rRNA from 1 species